rnacentral:tmRNA from 1 species
GGGGGCGUUACGGUUUCGACGGGGAGCUGUGACGACAGGGGUAGCGAGCCGAGAUCCCGCCGACCUCGUUAAACGGUGGAACGCACGAUAAGUGCCAACAACGAGUACGCUUACGCUGCGUAAUUAACGCAGCCGUCCAAUCCGGGCUUGGCCUGGGAGACCGGUGCGGGCGUCAUUCAAACCAGGAUGCUCUCGCUCCAAUUCUCGGAGGGGCGAGCUAAGAUCAUCGAGAUAGCCUCGUGGGGAGCCGGCGUGGGAGCGCCCCUGGGGCGAAUCAAAACCCCACGCUACGCUCGUAGAAACUCCUCGAGUCGCCUCUUCGGACGCGGGUUCGACUCCCGCCGCCUCCACCA